rnacentral:lncRNA from 1 species
GAGAACCCAGCUCGCCGGACCGCAUCGAAGCCUCCACCAGCAGCCCUUCGGUCACACCGCCGAGUGCCUGAAACAGAGAAGGGUGGGCAAGCAAAAGACCAGAACAGAUCGGCAGAGAAAAAAUUAAAAUCGAUGAAGAAGACCCAAAAACAGAUCUGAAAAACUAAGAAAAAAUUAAAAUCAACUGCUUUGUUUGCGUUUUUUGUGCGUUUGCAGGUGACGGUGGGUGUCACCACCGGAAGGGAAGAGAAGAGGAGGAGAAAACAAGGCAGAUCCGCCUGUUUCCGGCAUGGUCGGCGGCGCGUGGAACCACGCGCCGCCAGUGGCGGUGGGCGUGAGUUCCACGCGCCGCCACUGUUCCUGGUGUCCAUGGCUUCACAGAAACGUUCCCAGCAAAUUCCUGGAGUUUUUGAAUGGUUGUUUUGUAAUUUUAGAAUUUGUUUAAUGUAAUUUUUUUGUUUAAUGUAAUUUUUGUUUAGUUUUGAGUUUUUGUAAUUUGUAUUUUGUAAAUAUCCAAGGAAGAAAAAGAAGAAAAGAAACAAAAAAUAUAGUAAAGUGAAUGUGGGUGUUUGUAUUUUGUUUUAUUUAUUUGUUAUAUAUUUUUAAUGAUAAAAUUGCAAAAUAUUAAAGAAGAAUUUAAUAUUUUGAUUGGAUCACGGUUAAGAAUUAUUAACUUAUACGUAAGUGAUAUUUCUAAUUCCGAUGAAAAGACAAUUUUAAAACUUCUUUAACACAUCAAAUUCGCGAAGCAGCUUACCUCAGGUAGGGUGCGUUAGGGGUGCUAAUACCUUCCCUAACCACAACCAGUCCCUUACCCGCGAAUCUCUAACGAGACCAGUACAUCCGGUUUCCUAGUAGCUCACAAUCAAUUACUAGGUGGCGACUCCAACGAACCAAAUUCAAGCAAAUGCAAAAGACGAGAAAAAUUGCCAGCCGAUGCCGCGCGCUGAUUUUUUUGGGGUGCGACAGAAUGGCGACUCCACUGGGAAAGGUAUUGUUUCUGACAUUAUUGGACUAAGCUUUGUGUAUUUGAUGUGUUUAAGUUUUUUGCAUUUUUAUCUUUUUGUUAAUAUUUUUUCCAUGCAUUUUAUAGAAUUGUUCAUGCAUCACCUGUAUUUAUUUUAAAGCACACACAAGCUUCUAGGUUAGGUGGGGAACUAGCGAUCUGCCCUAAGACUAUUGGUCAGGGUUCAGAUGCGUGAAACACCCAACUCAUAUCUGAGUGCCUGCUUGGUAAUGGUGGGUAUACGUGCCUUAACCAUUUCUUGCAACACCCCCAUAUUGUCCUUACGAAGAACGUCACUGGGCAGAUAUGAGACCCUUUUGAGACCAGAUAGAAAACUUACCCAUGUUCACAUAAUAAAUAGAACAUGUCCUUAGGUUAUAUGUGCUAUUGUUAUUUGCAUAAGGACAAACCCUUCUUGAAGCAUCUUGAACUCAAGACUUGUGGGUGACACAUUGGCCUUCACUCCGAAAAUUUUCAUUGUAGAGUUUGGGCAAAAAUCACGAUUCUUGCUCCAUCAUACAAGAGUUACGACCAUAUUGUCACCUCUCGAAGGGUGAGUUCAUCAUAUAGAUUACAUGUUUAUACAUUUGUCAUGCAUGCACCAGAAUGAAAAGUAGGUCCCCUACGAGUCUACAACACCCGACUUUGAAUGAAGAAAAACUCUGAAGAUGAAGAAUAUGCUCGUCGUAAUUUUUGAAGACAUGUGUGACUUGCUUCUAGCUUACUCGAGUAGAUACUGAAAAAUAACUCUAGGAAAGUUCCUUCCAACCGACCUAUCAUCUUUGUUCAAAACCCAACAAUGACUCAGCCCGAAGAAAUUGGGGGCAAAAUUUGUCAAGAGCCUCGGUGCAAUCAUGUAUUUUCUGCAAAAAGCUUUGGUGGGAAGGCUGACCGAAGGGAAUUACACUACCGGUGCAUAAUGGAGCCUAUUAUUGUUAUGCAAAAAAAAAAAAAACCUCUGUUUGAUCAUGCCUGCAAAACUUCUUGAUUUUUAUUUCAACAUGUUCCAAUUUUUUGUUGGCAACUUAGCUUAAAAUUCCACAACACUUUCCUUGUCAAAUCAGCCUUUAUUGUUAAUAAGAUCAUGUGCUUAUAACAUACCUUCAUUUUUGUUGUUGUUUCAUACAAAGAACAUAUUGAGCAUAACCUUUAAGCAUGAAACCAUCACAAAGAAUCUUUGGGGUGUGUUUCCCUUUCUUUCAAAACUAUGCAUAAUCGCACAUGUUCACAAGGAUUUUUGGGAAUUCAAAGUUUAGUACAGAAACUGAAAUCAUGUUGAUGUUUGUCCAAAACAAACGAGUUCUGGAAAUUCAGGUGAUUCCUUAGAAAGGUAACUAUACACUUAGAAAACCUGAAAAAAAAAAAAAAACACCUUGAAGUGACUCCAAAAGCUGAGUUUUAUUUGAAUGAAUAAUGAGAAAUCACAUUGUAUACUCACAUGAAAGCAAAGCUUACCGAUCCUAAAUGCAUGAGUUUGAAAUGAAGAAAGGCCAUCUUUGAUAAUCUUUUCACGUGGCUAAAAUAUAUCAUUUGCAUUCCCUUUUUGAGCCUAAUGCUUUUCUUGAGAUAAAUAACCUUGGCUAGGAUCACACCCCAUACUGGGGGCAAGUGCGAUGACAUAGAAAAAACCUUAAUGAUUGAAAAUGCCCAAGCAACACUAGGGGGCAUAAAAGAAAAUUCUCAAUCAUCAAAGGUGCCCGAACAAAUCUAGAGGGGCAUGAAGAAAAAAUCCAAAGGAUCAAGAGUUUUGAGCAUAAAAAAAAAAAACAAUAUAAUGAUGCUCAAAACCAUAUGAAGAAAACAAAAACAAAAGGAACAAGCCCAAGCCCAACACUAGGGGGCACGAAAGACAAUUUUUGAAAGACAGUCAAAAGAUAAAAGGUCAAGAAACAAGCACAAGCGAUCCUUAGUCUCCAAAUCCCUUAAACACUUUUUGAGCUUGUAAAUAUCCUUUUUCUUCAUAACCAAGAACCCAAGCCUACAUUACGAGCCUAAUCAAGCCCGUUCUGAUCAAAGGCAAGCAAUCUGGAUCGGUAGGCAAUGCUUUCUCAUGUGAACCAAAUCAUUGUUCAUGCAAAUAAAAUAAAUGCUUUGAACCUCGGUUCUCAAUAACCCUCAAAUUGAAAUGUAAACCUUUUUUGACAAACCAGAUGUCACUUCAUAUUUCUUUACCAAAAGCCAAAACAAAAAAAAAAAAGUUUUCAUCACUUCUGAAAGCCUCUCCAUAGGAAUCACUUGAAUUUUUUAGAAUGAGUUUGCUUUGAAUCGAUGUCAAAAUAAUUUCUGUGCCUGGAAUCAUCUAACCUCAACAAAAAAAAAACAAAAAACAAAAAAAAUAUUUGCACAUAUUUUUUAAUUGUUACAGGAAAAUCCUUAAUGAGGUCCAGCAAGAUGGUGGAAAAAGAAAGAAACAUUGUGGUGAUGAUAAUAAAGAAUCGGUUUUGAUCAUGGAAUAAAAGGACGAUGGGAUGAACCCUACAAUUAGGAAAAUCCCAAAGAAAUAAAUAGAUCAACCUUGCAAUCGGGGAACCUCGAGUUUUCAACCCUUGUAGUCAGGAAACACCGAGUUUUCAAACCCUAUGAUCGGGGAUUAUCAGGAAGCACCAGGUUUUCCAGCCCAUCUUCUGUCAUCCCCUCAGGACUUCGCUAGGUCAGUCCUAUUUUUCACACUUGUCAUAUCACAUCUUCCAUGUGGGUUGGUCACCCAUGACAAUGAAACCGCGCUUUUCACAUUUUUUCCAUCCGGGUAGGUCACCCAUGUCAAUGAGACCGCCCUUCAUCAUAUUUUUUCCAUCUGGGUAGGUCACCCAUUACAAUGAGACCACACUUCAUAUUUUUUCCAUUUUUGGGUAGGUCACCCAUUAUAAUGAGACCGCACUUCACAUUCUUUCUAUUUUGGGUAGGUCGCCCAUCACAACGAGACCACUUCAUCAUAUUUUGUCCAUCUAGGUAGGUCACCCAUUACAAUGAGACCACACUUCAUAUUUUUUCCCCCUGGGUAGGUCACCCAUAAGAAUGAGACCACUCUUCCUCUUUUCCAUCUGGGUAGGUCACCCAUCACAAUGAGACCACCAUUUUUUUCCCUAGGUAGGUCACCCAUUAUAAUGAGACCACUUUUUACACAUUCUUUUGUUCUAGUUGAAUGAGGUCGCCAGAUGGGAUCUCAUGUAGCUUUGGUUAAAGGGAAUCGCCAGAUGGGGUUUCAGGUUGACCGAGCUACACACAUUGCUUGGUUAUGGUUAAAGGGGAUCGGCGAAGGGAUCUCAGUUUAACCUAAUUGGAAAGGAUUUUGGUUCUGGUUGAAGGGGAUCGGCGAAGGGAUCUCAGUUCAAUCUAACCACACAGACCUUGGUUAUGGUUAAAGGGGACCGGCGAAGGAAUCUCAGUUUAACCUAAUUGGAAAGGAUCUUGGUUCUGGUUGAAGGGGAUCGACGAAGGGAUCUCAGUUCAGUCUAACUACACAUUCCUUGGUUAUGGUUAAAGGGGAUCGACAAAGGGAUCUCAGUUUAACCUAAUUGGAAAGGAUUUUGGUUCUGGUUGAAGGGGAUCGACGAAGGGAUCUCAGUUCAGUCUAACCACACAGACGGCUCUGGUUAAAGGGAAUCACUAGAUGGGAUUUCAGGUUAACCGAGUUACACACCGAUUUUUGUUCUUGUUAGAUCGCCAGAUGGGAUCUCAGGUAAACCCAAUAAAAAGGGCAGGUCGCCCGUGAAAAUAGACUAGUGUGAGUGUGUGGGCCGGUCGCCCUUGAAAAUAGACCAGUGUGAGUGUGUGGGUAGGUCGCCCCUGAAAAUAGACCACUUUGAGUAUGUGUGGGCAGGUCGCCCGUGAAAACAGACCAGUGUGAGAGUGUGGGUCGGUCGCCCCUUCGCCCGUGAAAAUAGACCAGUGUGAGUGUGUGGGUCGGUCGCCCCUGAAAAUAGACCACUUUGAGUAUGUGUGGGCAGGUCGCCCGUGAAAACAGACCAGUGUGAGAGUGUGGGUCGGUCGCCCUUCGCCCGUGAAAAUAGACCAGUGUGAGUGUGUGGGCCGGUCGCCCCUGAAAAUAGACCACUUUGAGUAUGUGUGGGCAGGUCGCCCGUGAAAAUAGACCAGUGUGAGUGUGUGGGCAAGUCGCCCAAGAUAAUGAAAUCAUUUUUCUUUCGUUUUCUUUACAAAGCUUACUAUGCAAAACAUCGAGGAUUUUUGCUUCGUAAGCAUUGUAAAGAGGGGGCAUCUGUUGCUACCCAUUUUUUGACCCAUGUUUUUUAUAUAUUUUCAAAAAAUUCCAAAAAUAGAGAAAAACAAAGAAAAUCCAAAAAAAUAUGUUUUUAAUAUAUUUUCGUCAUUUUAGCAUUUUCAGCGUCGUCUAGAAAAAAAGAAUUUAAAUUUCUUAAAAAAAAAGAUUUUCAAACGCGUUCAACUUUUCACGCGUUAUUUUUAAAAUCAUUGAUUUUCCUCGUUGAGUCGACGUUGAUAUUGCUCGUUUUCAAAAAAUACAAAAAAAUAAAAAAAAUCAAAAUUUACAAAAAGAAAGAAGUUGAGGGACCAAGUUGAAAAACUUGGCAACAUUUUUUGCCUAUAAAUACUGGUUUCCAACACUUGCAAAAGGAGGAGGGGGGCUAAUUUUGGAAAUAUAAAAAAUACAAAAAAAUCUCUAACCCUAAGCUUUUCUUUUUUAAAAGGGUGCAGCCCCCCUCCCUUUUUUUUCUGAAAAAAACCGCCGCCCCCAUCUUUUCUUCAUCAGAGCCCCACAUUUGAACCAGGCCGGUCCAACCAUCUCCUUCUCCCUUUCAAACCAAAAACCAGCAGCCGUCUCCCUACCGCUGGCCAUUUUGUUUCCUCCCGGCCACCUCACUCUCUCGUCUCUCAGCUGAUCCCUCCUUCCUUUUUUCCUACAAACACAACCGAACCAGCCCCCUCCCCCCGGAUUUGAUUUUUUUUGCUACCACAGCCACCCCCUGAUUUUUCAGCUCUCCAUCAUCUCCCCUGCACCACAAAGCAGCCCCAUUCCCACACAAAACCAACCAGCUCAAUCCCAGCCGGCCCCUGCCUCUCCUGGCCGCUCACGGAGCCAUCCCCACCGGCCACAGACCACCCAACAGCAACCCUUUCUCAGCCUCUGCCACCGAUUUGUUUUUCAUUCCCUCAGCACCGUCCAUCGACAGUAACGGAGAAGCAGCUCCACAGAACCGGAGAUCCACCACCAGCUUGGGGGACGCCGUCCUCACCAUCCCAGCAGGAGUCCCUUUCACAGGCUUCCCCUAUCAGAGAACCCAGCUCGCCGGACCGCAUCGAAGCCUCCACCAGCAGCCCUUCGGUCACACCGCCGAGUGCCUGAAACAGAGAAGGGUGGGCAAGCAAAAGACCAGAACAGAUCGACGGAGAAGGAAGCAGACCCGAACCAAUGAAGAAGACCCAAAAACAGAUCUGAAAAACUAAGAAAAAAUUAAAAUCAACUGCUUUGUUUGCAUUUUUUGUGCGUUUGCAGGUGACGGUGGGUGUCACCACCGGAAGGGAAGAGAAGAGGAGGAGAAAACAGGGCAGAUCCGCCUGUUUCCGGCAUGGUCGGCGGCGCGUGGAACCACGCGCCGCCAGUGGCGGUGGGCGUGAGUUCCACGCGCCGCCACUGUUCCUGGUGUCCAUGGCUUCACAGAAACGUUCCCAGCAAAUUCCUGGAGUUUUU